rnacentral:rRNA from 1 species
CCCAAACCAAUAAAGUUUUCUUUAUUGGGGUUGCGGACAUAUCAUAACGAAGAGGUAUCGUAAUUGAAGAGGUUUGGAAAGACCCACCACAGAAGGUAAUAGUCCUGUAUGUUAAACGAGAAGACUUUAGAUAUGAUCCAGAGUACCACGGGACACGUGAAACCCUGUGGGAAGCAGGAGGGACCACCCUCCAAGGCUAAAUACUACCUAGUGACCGAUAGCGUAUAGUACCGUGAGGGAAAGGUGAAAAGAACCCCGGGAGGGGAGUGAAAUAGAACCUGAAACCCUGCACUUACAAGCUGUGGAAGCACAUUUCUUGUGUGACCGCGUACUUUUUGUAGAACGGGCCAACGAGUUACGUUAAGUAGCAAGGUUAAGCACUUAAGGUGUGGAGCCGUAGCGAAAGCGAGUUUUAACUGAGCGUUCAGUUACU